rnacentral:rRNA from 1 species
GUGAGUGGAAUUCCGAGUGUAGAGGUGAAAUUCGUAGAUAUUCGGAGGAACACCAGUGGCGAAGGCGGCUCACUGGCUCGAUACUGACGCUGAGGUGCGAAACUGUGGGGAGCAAACAGGGAUUAGAUACCCUGGUAGUCCACACCGUAAACGAUGAAUGCCAGUCGUCGGGCAGUAUACUGUUCGGUGACACACCUAACGGAUUAAGCAUUCCGCCUGGGGAGUACGGGUCGCAAGAUUAAAACUCAAAUGAAUU